CAUCCAGAAGGUGGCGGUAAUAAAAUGUCUGCUGCCAUAAAUGUCAAAGAGAGACUGCGCAUGCUUAAGGCCAUUUGAACUCCAGAUACUCGUGCUAUUUUGGCGGAAAGGUUGGUGUCUCCUUCGAGUUUACAAAAAGUUUCAGUUGCAGGCAGAAUUUCUGAGGAUCACCACUUGUCCCCUUGUCUCAAAGUUCUUCGAACAACUUGACCAACACACUGCCCAGCUCAUCAAAGUGCUAAAGAAGAAAGGUGGCUCUGCAGGGAAGAAGAUUACAGUAGCCUAAUUUUUGCCCCAUCGCACAGUGUGAAACAGUUGAAAAGAAGAGGGAGUGCAUCCUCAAGGCACUUUGUGUCUACCUCAGUGAAGACCCCAGCAUCCUCUUCAAAGAAUAUCCGGACUCUGAUGGUGCAGCUCUUCAGAGGGAGCUCGAGCAACUUACCUUUGGCAUCUACAGCAUCAAUGUUGAGGGAGGUGAUGCCACUACUCCUCCAGCUGAUGUCGGCAUAGUGAUCGAGGGUGUUGAAGUUCUGCAUGACUUGGGAGACACAACCUCUGCAUGUGCACUCUUUAUGGGUGUAACAUAUGCACUGAACCUCAGUUAUCCCAAGGAACUGAAAGCCUUCUUUGAAGUACUUCAGAAGCUCUUCCUCCAGCUUGAUGCAUGCAGACUCUCAUCCAAGGUA